ensembl:snRNA U6 U6 spliceosomal RNA
GUACUUACUUUGGCACUACAUAUAAUAAAAUUGGAAUGAUACAGAGAGGAUUAAAAUGGCCACUGCAUAAGGAUGACAUAGAAACUCAUAAAGAGUUCCAUAUUUUU